CUUACCAACUCCAUGGAGAUCACCGGAGCUCACCGCCGUCUGGAGGAUCGGCCACUGGCCAGUGCCUCUGGAACCGCUGCUACGCCGGUGUCUACACGGCAGCGCAGGGGUUCGAGAGUGGGGCCCUGACCUUGCUGACUUCAUCACUGCCUUCCUGGGUAUAGUGCUUGCUUUUACUUUCCCAUACUUGUUGUGCAAUGUAGUAUAGAUUGAAGUUGAAUUUUUUGCUUCUAUAGAGAUUUGGUACUUUAGUGCAUGGAUGGGGAGAGACUGUUGACCAUGUGGUUGCCAUAGAUUACUGGUCGCAAAAUCUAUCUAGAGAAUUGGUCUGCACUGAGAAAUAGAUAUCCUCACCGGAUAGGAUGAUGGCAAAGUUUGUCAGGUGAAUGUUUUGGUUGUGUGCUAUCGGGUUGAUUAUCCUUCCAAAAUUAGUUGCUCUUCAAGGUGGAACUGUCAUCUGGCCAUGGUGCCUCCUUACUUGUAAUGUUGAAACGUGAUUGCCAAAAUAUUAGACAUUAUAUCCGUGUGCUUCAUGAUGACAGAAAAAUGCUUGUGCAGAAUGCACUUUGGCAAUACUAUGUAGUAAGCCAGUAGCUAAUUGCUAACCGUUAUGUGAGAGGAGCUUAUGAUUGUUAUUUCUAUAAUUCUAUGUCUGCUGUUAAGAUGGCAAGAGUAUUUCCUAAUUUUGAGUACGAGGCAUAAUUAAACUGCAAAGUUCAACAAAUUAACUUCCUUUGCUUGUUUUUAUAUUGAUUGUGUAACUUCCUAAGGUGAAUAUCUGAUCUUCAUUCGCUCUGAUGAAGAAAGCUACAGAAAGAGGAUACUCCGGCUGUUGACUUCAGUGUAUUCCACAAUCAGCAUUCCUGAUGUGGCUCCUUCAUGGGGAUGAGUGAGGAGGAUGCUAUGAACUAAGGAGAACUCGAGAAUGGUAGGUUGAUCGGUUAUAUCAGCUCAAGCCAAUAAGCUAUUCAUAUGGUGGCAUAUGGCAGCGGAGGGGCGUCGCCAGGACCGUGGGACGGCGGCGCGACAGGAGGAUGACCGGGUGCGGCGACGCGAGGGAGGACAGGCAUCGCGAGGACCAGGUGACGGCGGCGCAGUGGGACGGGUAACUCGGUGGGGGUGGGGGCUCGGAACACGAGGAGGUGGCUGGAGAGGGGCGCACGGUGGUGGGGCGGGUUGGCAUGGCUCUGGCGAGCAAUCCGGCUACCUAUUCUCUAGAAUAGAUUUCUGCUACUACCUCUUUUGUGAUUUAGUUUAGCAGGAAACUAAUAUGCUUAUGGCUAUUAUCAAGAUAUAAGGAUAACAGGGAAUUUUUUUCAGUUCUUGCAA